rnacentral:misc_RNA from 1 species
GUUAGCUCGGACGUUAAAGGACAGCAAGCCCUAAAUCAGCGAAGAAGAAGGAGACGACACGCUGCUGCUCUUUCAUAGUUUCUCCCUUCCAUUUCAUCUGCAAGGAUAUUCAAAUUCCCUUUUGAGUUCUAGUACCAUGGGAUCUUACAUGAACUUCAAGAACAUUACUGACAAGCCACAGGCGGAGAGCAACGGGGGGAAGUCAGUUGGUAAUGGUGAUACCCCUUUGGCUAGGCAAUCCUCCAUAUACUCGUUGACGUUUGAUGAGCUUCAAACUACAUUUAGUGGACUUGGAAAAGAUUUUGGAUCAAUAAACAUGGAGGAACUGUUGAAAAGCAUUUGGACAGCUGAAGAGUCUCAAGCUGCGACAUCUUCUACUGGGGGAGGAGAAGAUGGGAUUGCACCUGUAGGAAAUCUACAGAGGCAAGGUUCUUUGACAUUACCUCGGACACUAAGUCAGAAAACUGUUGAUGAAGUAUGGAGAAACUUUCAAAAAGAAACUACGGUAUGUACCCCAGACGGAAGUGAAACUGGGAAAUCAAACUUUGGGCAGAGGCAAUCUACCUUGGGAGAAAUGACAU